rnacentral:rRNA from 1 species
AUACGUAGGGGGCGAGCGUUGUCCGGAAUGAUUGGGCGUAAAGGGCGCGUAGGCGGCCCGGUAAGUCUGGAGUGAAAGUUCUGUUUUUAAGAUGGGAAUUGCUUUGGAUACUGUCGGGCUUGAGUGCAGGAGAGGUAAGUGGAAUUCCCAGUGUAGCGGUGAAAUGCGUAGAGAUUGGGAGGAACACCAGUGGCGAAGGCGACUUACUGGACUGUAACUGACGCUGAGGCGCGAAAGUGUGGGGAGCAAACAGGAUUAGAUACCCUGGUAGUCCACACUGUAAACGAUGAAUGCUAGGUGUAGGGGGUAUCGACCCCUUCUGUGCCGCAGUCAACACAAUAAGCAUUCCGCCUGGGGAGUACGGCCGCAAGGUUGAAACUCAAAGGAAUUGACGGGG